AAUGUGUCCUUUAAUCGACAGCCCACGUUAACUUUCACUUAUAUUAAUAUCUUAUAUACCCCCGUCUUAAGAAUAAAUUUAAAAAUUUUAUUCAAAAAAACAUCUAAAAAGUUAGGUAACGGUGUAGACUACAUAUAAGGUAAAGAUGCAUUACUAUAAAGAUAUUUAAGGAAAUUAAAGAAACCUAAAAUAGAAAUAGGAUUUAAAAGUAAUUUAUUAAUAAUAUUUAUAUUUGAAUUAAGACAAAAAUGUGC
rnacentral:rRNA from 1 species